GGGGAAAUAGCUCAGUUGGUUAGAGUGCUGGCCUGUCACGCCAGAGGCCGCGGGUUCGACCCCCGUUUUCCCCG
rnacentral:tRNA from 1 species